AAUGAACGCUGGCGGCGUGCCUAACACAUGCAAGUCGAGCGAGAAAGUCUCUUCGGAGAUAAGUACAGCGGCGGACGGGUGAGUAACGCGUGAGAAUUUACCCUUUAGUGAAGAAUACCUCUGAGAAAUCAGGGUUAAUACUGCAUACGUCCCUACGGGGAGAAAGGUGGCCUCUUUGCUGCCGCUAAAGGAUAAGCUUGCGUACUAUUAGCUAGUUGGUGAGGUAAAGGCUCACCAAGGCGAUGAUGGUUAGCCGGCCUGAGAGGGUGUACGGCCACACUGGAACUUAGACACGGUCCAGACUCCUACGGGAGGCAGCAGUGAGGGAUAUUGCGCAAUGGGCGAAAGCCUGACGCAGCGACGCCGCGUGGAGGAUGAAGGUCUUCGGAUUGUAAACUCCUGUUAAGUGGGAAGAAAGACCUAUUUCUAAUACAGAUAGGGGAUGACGGUACCAUUAGAGAAAGCACCGGCUAACUUCGUGCCAGCAGCCGCGGUAA
rnacentral:rRNA from 1 species